CCAGGGAAACGCUAGGGCUGGUGCUCAGUAGCUGCAGUGAGCACGGGCAGAGCGGAUAAGCUGCUGUUUGUCACCGACGGCUUGUCAGGCCGCCGCUGGCUGGUGGACUCUGGCACCCAGCGGAGUAACCUGCCUGCAUCGGCCGUGGACGCGGUGGAAGACGGCCGUGGACCCCCACUGAUCGCCGCCAAUGGGACCACCAGCCGUACUUUCGGCACCAGGAACAAGAGAUAGCGGUUCCUUCGACUAAGGCCCAUAUCAGAACGUGACAGAGGGUGUGGAGAGCCGCUCGAGCUGCUCUAGAGAGAGCUUCUGUGAAAAUGUGCCGCAACGCCAACCCUCAUCGCAUUCCUGCUCCAUCCUAUCGGCCAGGACAGCAAGUUUUGUUACUGGCUAAGGACCUUAACCUUCAGAGUUCCUCCUCUGGCUGCUCGUCUGG